rnacentral:rRNA from 1 species
GAUGAACGCUAGCUACAGGCUUAACACAUGCAAGUCGAGGGGAAACGGCAUUAAGUGCUUGCACUUUUUGGACGUCGACCGGCGCACGGGUGAGUAACGCGUAUCCAACCUUCCCAUGACUAAGGGAUAACCCGCCGAAAGGCAGACUAAUACCUUAUGGUCUUCACUGACGGCAUCAGAUGUGAAGUAAAGAUUUAUCGGUUAUGGAUGGGGAUGCGUCUGAUUAGUUAGUUGGCGGGGUAACGGCCCACCAAGGCAACGAUCAGUAGGGGUUCUGAGAGGAAGGUCCCCCACAUUGGAACUGAGACACGGUCCAAACUCCUACGGGAGGCAGCAGUGAGGAAUAUUGGUCAAUGGGCGAGAGCCUGAACCAGCCAAGUAGCGUGCAGGACGACGGCCCUAUGGGUUGUAAACUGCUUUUGUAUGGGGAUAAAGUCAAUCACGUGUGAUUGUUUGCAGGUACCAUACGAAUAAGGACCGGC